ACGAAGCCGACUCCAGUGCGCCUGCGCGUCCCGGACCGCUGCUGUCGGGCUCAGGCUGCCCCACGCGGCUCGCGCCGCCGCCGGGAUGCUUUUCUAUUCGUUCUUCAAAUCCCUGGUGGGGAAGGACGUGGUGGUGGAAUUAAAAAAUGAUCUGAGUAUCUGUGGGACCCUCCAUUCUGUGGAUCAGUACCUGAACAUCAAGCUGACCGACAUCAGCGUGACGGAUCCGGAGAAGUACCCCCACAUU